rnacentral:rRNA from 1 species
UACAUGGGGUGCAAACGUUGCUCGGAAUUAUUGGGCGUAAAGCGCACGUAGGCGGCUUAGCAAGUCGGAAGUGAAAGCCCUCGGCUCAACCAAGGAAGUGCUUUCGAAACUGCUGAGCUUGAGUACUUAAGAGGAUCGCGGAAUUCCCGGUGUAGAGGUGAAAUUCGUAGAUAUCGGGAGGAAUACCAGUGGCGAAGGCGGCGAUCUGGGAAGAUACUGACGCUGAGGUGCGAAAGCGUGGGGAGCAAACAGG